GGCCGCGGGAAUUCGAUUCAGGCCUAACACAUGCAAGUUGAUCGCCCCGCAAGGGGAGUGGCAGACGGGUGAGUAACGCGUGGGAAUCUACCCAUCCGUACGGAACAACUCCGGGAAACUGGAGCUAAUACCGUAUACGCCCUACGGGGGAAAGAUUUAUCGGGGAUGGAUGAGCCCGCGUUGGAUUAGCUAGUUGGUGGGGUAAAGGCCUACCAAGGCGACGAUCCAUAGCUGGUCUGAGAGGAUGAUCAGCCACAUUGGGAGUGAGACACGGCCCAAACUCCUACGGGAGGCAGCAGUGGGGAAUAUUGGACAAGGGGCGCAAGCCUGAUCCAGCCAUGCCGCGUGAGUGAAAGGGUCUUAGGAUUGUAAAGCUCUUUCACCGAUGAAGAUAAUGACGGUAGUCGAGAAGAG
rnacentral:rRNA from 1 species